AAGAACUCUGGAAUGAGUCUUUGCCAAAAAGAUGCUAGAGUUAUGCUCUUUGGCAUCGCCCAAGGAUGAGGCCGCGACCGAUCAGGUUGUUGGUGAGGUAAUGGCUCACCAAGCCUUUUACCGGUGCGGGCCGUGAGAGCGGGAGCCCGGAGAUGGGCACUGAGACAAGGGCCCAGGCCCUACGGGGCGCAGCAGUCGCGAAAACUUUGCAAUACACGAAAGUGUGACAGGGCUAUCCCGAGUGCCAUCCGCUGAGGAAGGCUUUUACCCAGUCUAGAACGCUGGGGGAAUAAGGAGAGGGCAAGUCUGGUGUCAGCCGCCGCGGUAAUACCAGCUCUCCGAGUGGUGUGGAUGUUUAUUGGGCCUAAAGCAUCCGUAGCUGGCUAAGUUAGUCCCUUGUUAAAUCCACCGAAUUAAUCGUUGGAUUGCGGGGGAUACUGCUUGGCUAGGGGACGAGAGAGGCAGACGGUAUUUCCGGGGUAGGGGUGAAAUCCUAUAAUCCCGGGAAGACCACCAGUGGCGAAGGCUGUCUGCUAGAACGCGCCCGACGGUGAGGGAUGAAAGCUGGGGGAGCGAACCGGAUUAGAUACCCGGGUAGUCCCAGCUGUAAACGAUGCAGGCUAGGUGUUUGGACGGCCACGUGCCGUUCUAGUGCCGCAGGGAAGC
rnacentral:rRNA from 1 species